rnacentral:rRNA from 1 species
GGGUGAGUAACGCGUGAGCAACCUGUCCCUUACAGGGGAUAACACAGCGAAAGUUGUACUAAUACCGCAUGAGACCACGGGGAGACAUCUUCCAGGGGUCAAAGGAGCAAUCCGGUAAGGGUGGGCUCGCGUCCGAUUAGAUAGUUGGUGAGGUAACGGCCCACCAAGUCGACGAUCGGUAGCCGACCUGAGAGGGUGAUCGGCCACAUUGGGACUGAGACACGGCCCAAACUCCUACGGGAGGCAGCAGUGGGGAAUAUUGGGCAAUGGGGGAACCCUGACCCAGCAACGCCGCGUGAGGGAAGAAGGUCUUCGGAUUGUAAAGCUCUGUCCUUGGGGACGAAGAAGUGACGGUACCCAAGGAGGAAGCCCCGGCUAACUACGUGCC